GAUGAACGCUGGCGGCGUGCCUAAUACAUGCAAGUCGAGCGAACAGACGAGGAGCUUGCUCCUCUGACGUUAGCGGCGGACGGGUGAGUAACACGUGGAUAACCUACCUAUAAGGCUGGGAUAACUUCGGGAAACCGGAGCUAAUACCGGAUAAUAUAUUGAACCGCAUGGUUCAAUAGUGAAAGACGGUUUUGCUGUCACUUAUAGAUGGAUCCGCGCCGCAUUAGCUAGUUGGUAAGGUAACGGCUUACCAAGGCAACGAUGCGUAGCCGACCUGAGAGGGUGAUCGGCCACACUGGAACUGAGACACGGUCCAGACUCCUACGGGAGGCAGCAGUAGGGAAUCUUCCGCAAUGGGCGAAAGCCUGACGGAGCAACGCCGCGUGAGUGAUGAAGGUCUUCGGAUCGUAAAACUCUGUUAUUAGGGAAGAACAAAUGUGUAAGUAACUAUGCACGUCUUGACGGUACCUAAGCAGAAAGCCACGGCUAACUACGU
rnacentral:rRNA from 1 species